UACGUAGGGGGCAAGCGUUGUUCGGAAUUACUGGGCGUAAAGGGCGCGUAGGCGGCGGGUCAAGUCGAGUGUGAAAGCCCCGGGCUCAACCUGGGAAUUGCGCUCGAGACUGGUCUGCUUGAGUUCGGGAGAGGAGAGUGGAAUUCCCAGUGUAGAGGUGAAAUUCGUAGAUAUUGGGAAGAACACCGGUGGCGAAGGCGGCUCUCUGGACCGAGACUGACGCUGAGGCGCGAAAGCGUGGGGAGCAAACAGG
rnacentral:rRNA from 1 species